AACGAACGCUGGCGGCAUGCCUAACACAUGCAAGUCGAACGGGACCUCCGGGUGUGCUUGCGCACGGGUGCGUAACGUGGGGGAACCUGCCCUUAGGCUCGGAAUAACUCUUCGACAGGGGUGCUAAUAUCGGAUAAUGUCCUCGGACACAACAUUUGUCGUAGUUGGGUGGGCACGCGUUGUUUUAGCUUGGUGGGAGGGUAAGAGCCUACCAAGGCUACGAUCCAUAGCUGGGCUGAGAGGAAGGUCAGCCACUCUGAGGCUAGGACACGGCCCAGACUCCUAGGGGAGGCGGCAAAGGGUGAUAUAGGAAUAUGGGGGGAAGCCUGAUCGAGCAAGGCCUCGUGAGUGAUGAAGGCCGUAAAGUUGUAAAGCUCUUUUACACGGGGUGGUAAUGACGGUACCGAAAGAAUAAGCUCCGGCUAACUCCGUG
rnacentral:rRNA from 1 species